GUCGUAAACUCGAAGGUUUAAUACAAUACGUUAUUAACAAGUAGAACCAUGGCAACCAGUUCUGAUGAUGUACCAGAAUGGCUCAAGGAUCAUACUUAUACUAUUGCUACUCUCUGGGCAGACAUUAAUAAUAUUGGCAUCCAUUCAAUAUUUAAUUUAUGUUUGGAAAUGCAAGAAAAAGGCAUGCAUUCCUGAAAAGUCAAUGAUUGGUUGCACCUCUUAAAGAUAACUUUCUGUUAUGAGAAAAGAUGAGAUUCUUGGACUCCUGCAUAGCACCACCAGAAAGGAAAAUCCCAUCAUGUUGCAAAAUAAAAGUCUUGGACCAAUUUUAUGUUAUAUUAUACUGUAAGCUCUAUACAUAUUUAUGUAUAUCCUGUCAUUCAGCCAACAGGUUUGGAUUUAGUAUUUCUUUAAAUCUGUUUGAUAUUGUACUUGAAAACUAUUAAUCUGAGCCCCAUUACCAUUAAAACAAGAGGAAGUGUAGUGGAUGAGUGGUAAAGCACUUGGCUUCUGAACUGAGGGUUCCUGGGUUCGAUUAAGACUGGUAUUUUUAAUUUCAGAAUCCUUAAGGCUACUCUGAGUCCACCAAGCUCUAAUGGAUACAUGGCAAUAGUAAGGAAUAGGUAAAGGCGGUUUGGGGAUCCAUGGCUGAAUGGUUAAGUCAUAGGUUUGAAUCUCUGUGAAGACUCAGAUUUAAAAUUUUUGGGUGCCCCUGAGUUCACCCAACUCUAAUGGGUAGCUGACUUUCGUUUUGGAAAGUAAAGAUGGUUGGUUGUUGUGCUGGCCAC